UACGAAGGGGGCUAGCGUUGUUCGGAAUUACUGGGCGUAAAGCGCGCGUAGGCGGCUUUGCAAGUCGGGUGUGAAAUCCCCAGGCUUAACCUGGGAACUGCAUUCGAGACUGCAUUGCUAGAGUAUGGGAGAGGGAAGUGGAAUUUCAGGUGUAGCGGUGAAAUGCGUAGAUAUCUGGAGGAACACCGGUGGCGAAGGCGGCGUUCUGGACUGCAACUGACACUGAGGAACGAAAGCCAGGGGAGCAAACGGG
rnacentral:rRNA from 1 species